GCGGACGGGUGAGUAACAACGUGGGUAACCUGCCCAUAAAGACUGGGGAUAACUCCGGGAAACCGGGGCUAAUACCGGAUAACAUUUUGAACCGCAUGGUUNGAAAUUGAAAAGGCGGCUUCGGCUGUCACUUAUGGAUGGACCCGCGUCGCAUUAGCUAGUUGGUGAGGUAACGGCUCACCAAGGCAACGAUGCGUAGCCGACCUGAGAGGGUGAUCGGCCACACUGGGACUGAGACACGGCCCAGACUCCUACGGGAGGCAGCAGUAGGGAAUCUUCCGCAAUGGACGAAAGUCUGACGGAGCAACGCCGCGUGAGUGAUGAAGGCUUUCGGGUCGUAAAACUCUGUUGUUAGGGAAGAACAAGUGCUAGUUGAAUAAGCUGGCACCUUGACGGUACCUAACCAGAAAGCCACGGCUAACUACGUGCCAGCAGCCGCGGUAAUACGUAGGUGGCAAGCGUUAUCCGGAAUUAUUGGGCGUAAAGCGCGCGCAGGUGGUUUCUUAAGUCUGAUGUGAAAGCCCACGGCUCAACCGUGGAGGGUCAUUGGAAACUGGGAGAC
rnacentral:rRNA from 1 species